rnacentral:rRNA from 1 species
UACGUAGGGUGCGAGCGUUAAUCGGAAUUACUGGGCGUAAAGCGUGCGCAGGCGGUUAUGCAAGACAGAUGUGAAAUCCCCGGGCUUAACCUGGGAACUGCAUUUGUGACUGCAUGACUAGAGUACGGCAGAGGGGGAUGGAAUUCCGCGUGUAGCAGUGAAAUGCGUAGAUAUGCGGAGGAACACCGAUGGCGAAGGCAAUCCCCUGGGCCUGUACUGACGCUCAUGCACGAAAGCGUGGGGAGCAAACAGG